rnacentral:rRNA from 1 species
AGAGUUUGAUCCUGGCUCAGGACGAACGCUGGCGGCGUGCUUAACACAUGCAAGUCGAGCGGAAAGGCCCACUUGUGGGUACUCGAGCGGCGAACGGGUGAGUAACACGUGAGUAAUCUGCCCUUCACUUGGGGAUAACGUCCAGAAAUGGGUGCUAAUACCCGGUACUCCCAGGUCCACGCAUGUGGGUGUGGGGAAAGGUUUUUCUGGUGGGGGAUGUGCUCGCGGCCUAUCAGCUUGUUGGUGGGGUAAUGGCCUACCAAGGCUUUGACGGGUAGCCGGCCUGAGAGGGUGACCGGCCACACUGGGACUGAGACACGGCCCAGACUCCUACGGGAGGCAGCAGUGGGGAAUAUUGGACAAUGGGCGGAAGCCUGAUCCAGCAACGCCGCGUGAGGGAUGACGGCCUUCGGGUUGUAAACCUCUUUCACCAUUGACGAAGCUGCAUCUUUUUGGGUGUGGUGACGGUAGGUGGGGAAGAAGCACCGGCCAACUACGUGCCAGCAGCCGCGGUAAUUC